AUGGGGGUUGUUUCAGUUGUGGAAGUUGUAAUUGUGGGGGUUGUUUCUGUUGUUGUGGAAGGUGUUAUUGUGGGGGUCGUUUCAGUUGUUGUGGAAGUUGAAAAUGUGGGAGUUGUUUCAGUUGUUGUGGAAGUUGAAAUUGUGGGGGUUGUUUCUGUUGUUGUGGAAGGUGUUAUUGUGGGGGUCGUUUCAGUUGUUGUGGAAGGUGUUAUUGUGGGGGUCGUUUCAGUUGUGGAAGAUGUGGAGGUUGUUUCAGUUGUUGUGGAAGUUGUAAUUGUGGGGGUCGUUUCUGUUGUUGUGGAAGGUGUUGUUAUGGGGGUCGUUUCAGUUGUUGUGGAAGGUGUAAUGGUUGGAGUUGUUUCAGUUGUUGUGGAAGGUGUUAUUGUGGGGGUCGUUUCAGUUGUGGAAGAUGUUGUGGAGGUUGUUUCAGUUGUUGUGGAAGGUGUUAUUGUGGGAGUCGUUUCAGUUGUGGAAGAUGUUGUGGAGGUUGUUUCAGUUGUUGAAGAAGUUGUAAUUGUGGGGGUCGUUUCUGUUGUUGUGGAAGGUGUUGUUAUGGGGGUCGUUUCAGUUGUGGAAGGUGUUGUUAUGGGGGUCGUUUCUGUUGUUGUGGAAGGUGUUAUUGUGGGGGUUGUUUCUGUUGUUGUGGAAGGUGUUAUUAUGGGGGUCGUUUCAGUUGUGGAAGGUGUUGUUAUGGGGGUCGUUUCUGUUGUUGUUGAGGUUGAAAUUGUGGGGGUUGUUUCUGUUGUUGUGGAAGGUGUUAUUGUGGGGGUCGUUUCUGUUGUUGUGGAAGUUGAAAAUGUGGGAGUUGUUUCAGUUGUUGUGGAAGUUGAAAUUGUGGGGGUUGUUUCUGUUGUUGUGGAAGGUGUUAUUGUGGGGGUCGUUUCAGUUGUUGUGGAAGAUGUUGUGGAGGUUGUUUCACUUGUUGAAGAAGGUGUUAUUGUGGGGGUCGUUUCAGUUGUGGAAGAUGUUGUGGAGGUUGUUUCAGUUGUGGAAGAUGUUGUUAUGGGGGUCGUUUCAGUUGUGGAAGUUGUAAUUGUGGGAGUUGUUUCAGUUGUGGAAGAUGUUGUUGUGGAGGUUGUUUCAGUUGUUGUGGAAGUUGAAAUUGUGGGGGUUGUUUCUGUUGUUGUGGAAGGUGUUAUUGUGGGGGUCGUUUCAGUUGUUGUGGAAGAUGUUGUGGAGGUUGUUUCACUUGUUGAAGAAGGUGUUAUUGUGGGGGUCGUUUCAGUUGUGGAAGAUGUUGUGGAGGUUGUUUCAGUUGUUGUGGAAGGUGUUAUUGUGGGGGUCGUUUCAGUUGUGGAAGAUGUUGUGGGGGUCGUUUCUGUUGUGGAAGAUGUUGUUAUGGGGGUCGUUUCAGUUGUGGAAGUUGUAAUUGUGGGGGUCGUUUCUGUUGUGGAAGAUGGUGUCGAGGUUGUUUCAGUUGUUGUUGAGGUUGAAAUUGUGGGGGUUGUUUCUGUUGUUGUGGAAGGUGUAAUUGUGGGGGUCGUUUCAGUUGUGGAAGAUGUUGUUGUGGAGGUUGUUUCAGUUGUUGUGGAAGUUGAAAUUGUGGGGGUUGUUUCACUUGUUGUGGAAGGUGUUAUUGUUGGGGUCGUUUCAGUUGUUGUAGAAGUUGUAAUUGUGGAGGUCGUUUCAGUUGUUGUGGAAGUUGAAAUUGUUGGGGUUGUUUCUGUUGUUGUGGAAGGUAUUAUUGUGCGGGUUGUUUCUGCUGUAGUAGGUGUUGUGGUCCUUGUUGUAGUCGGUGUUGUUGUGGUUGUUUUUGUUGUUGUGGACGUUGUUGUAGUAGGUGUUGCUGUAGUAGGUUUUUCACACGUCGUCAUACAUUUUCUUGUGUUCUCAUCAAAGUAUGGCUUAUCCGGGGGACAUUGUGGGUAG
ensembl:lncRNA